AGAGUUUGAUCAUGGCUCAGGAUGAACGCUGGCGGCGUGCUUAACACAUGCAAGUCGAACGAAGCACUCUAUUUGAUUUCCUUCGGGAUUGAUUAUUUUGUGACUGAGUGGCGGACGGGUGAGUAACGCGUGGGUAACCUGCCUUGUACAGGGGGAUAACAGUUGGAAACGGCUGCUAAUACCGCAUAAGCGCACAGUACCGCAUGGUAUAGUGUGAAAAACUCCGGUGGUAUAAGAUGGACCCGCGUUUGAUUAGCUGGUUGGUGGGGUAACGGCCUACCAAGGCGACGAUCAAUAGCCGACCUGAGAGGGUGACCGGCCACAUUGGGACUGAGACACGGCCCAAACUCCUACGGGAGGCAGCAGUGGGGAAUAUUGCACAAUGGGCGAAAGCCUGAUGCAGCGACGCCGCGUGAGCGAAGAAGUAUUUCGGUAUGUAAAGCUCUAUCAGCAGGGAAGAUAAUGACGGUACCUGACUAAGAAGCACCGGCUAAAUACGUGCCAGCAGCCGCGGUAAUACGUGUGGUGCAAGCGUUAUCCGGAUUUACUGGGUGUAAAGGGAGCGCAGGCGGUGCGGCAAGUCUGAUGUGAAAGCCCGGGGCUCAACCCCGGUACUGCAUUGGAAACUGUCGUACUAGAGUGUCGGAGGGGUAAGCGGAAUUCCUAGUGUAGCGGUGAAAUGCGUAGAUAUUAGGAGGAACACCAGUGGCGAAGGCGGCUUACUGGACGAUAACUGACGCUGAGGCUCGAAGCGUGGGGAGCAAACAGGAUUAGAUACCCUGGUAGUCCACGCCGUAAAC
rnacentral:rRNA from 1 species